AGCGGAGGAAAAGAAACUAACAAGGAUUCCCCUAGUAACUGCGAGUGAAGAGGGAAAAGCUCAAAUUUGAAAUCUGGCAGUCUCUGGCUGUCCGAGUUGUAAUUUAGAGAAGUGUUACCCGUGCUGGACCGUGUAUAAGUCUCCUGGAAUGGAGCGUCAUAGAGGGUGAGAAUCCCGUCUUUGACACGGACUCCCAGUGCAUUGUGGUGCGCUCUCGAAGAGUCGAGUUGUUUGGGAAUGCAGCUCUAAAUGGGUGGUAAAUUCCAUCUAAAGCUAAAUAUUGGCGAGAGACCGAUAGCGAACAAGUACCGUGAGGGAAAGAUGAAAAGAACUUUGGAAAGAGAGUUAAACAGUACGUGAAAUUGCUGAAAGGGAAACGCUUGAAGUCAGUCGCGUUGACCAGGGAUCAACCUUGCUUUUAGUGAGGCGUACUUCCUGGUUUAACGGGUCAGCAUCAGUUUUGACCGCUGGAGAAAGGCUUGGGGAAUGUGGCAUCUCCGGAUGUGUUAUAGCCCCUUGUCGUAUACAGCGGUUGGGACUGAGGAACUCAGCACGCCGCAAGGCCGGGUUUUUAACCACGUUCGUGCUUAGGAUGCUGGCAUAAUGGCUUUAAGCGAC
rnacentral:rRNA from 1 species